rnacentral:lncRNA from 1 species
GUUAAGGCUAAGCUGGAUAGUGUUCACAAGCUUCUCAAGAAGUAGGUUAGCUUUGCAGAGGAUAUAGAGGCUGUAGAUGUCGAAAGUGACAGAGAGUUCAAGGAAGAUGUGAACUUCAUCAGUGGUACUUGUAGUAAUCCUCCCGAAGGGGUAAAAUGGUCGAGAUCGACAAAGUCGGAAUUUGGAGCCGAGCUUUUGGGAAUCAAAGUAUAAUGAGUAGUGUUGAGUCUUGAUCAUAUAAACCUUGACAAGAUUUAAAGAAAAUAGAAGAUUGGUCGAGCAUCAACUUGGUGGUCGAAUCGCAGGCGAUAAAGAUCGAUCGAGAAGUUGUGAAGUACGAGGUGGUUGAAUAAUUGAUCGUGAGUGAACCAUGAGUCGAAUAUACAACUCGACCAUGGUUAGACAAUGUGAUAGAGAUUUAUCAGAAGGAAUUUUUGGGAGGAUAACAUUUUUGGAGCACGACGUUUUAGACGCUCGACUUUUAGGAGAACGACGUUUCCGAAGCACCA